CCUACGGGAGGCAGCAGUGGGGAAUAUUGGACAAUGGGCGCAAGCCUGAUCCAGCCAUACCGCGUGUGUGAAGAAGGCCUUUUGGUUGUAAAGCACUUUAAGCGAGGAGGAGGCUCUUGAGGAUAAUACCCUUGAUGAGUGGACGUUACUCGCAGAAUAAGCACCGGCUAACUCUGUGCCAGCAGCCGCGGUAAUACAGAGGGUGCGAGCGUUAAUCGGAAUUACUGGGCGUAAAGCGCGCGUAGGCGGCUUGUUAAGUCGGAUGUGAAAUCCCCGGGCUCAACCUGGGCACUGCAUUCGAUACUGGCAAGCUAGAGUAUGGGAGAGGAAGGUAGAAUUCCAGGUGUAGCGGUGAAAUGCGUAGAGAUCUGGAGGAAUACCGAUGGCGAAGGCAGCCUUCUGGCCUAAUACUGACGCUGAGGUGCGAAAGCAUGGGGAGCAAACAGGAUUAGAUACCCUGGUAGUCCAUGCCGUAAACGAUGUCAACUAGCCGUUGGGGACCUUGAGUCUUUAGUGGCGCAGCUAACGCGAUAAGUUGACCGCCUGGGGAGUACGGUCGCAAGACUAAAACUCAAAUUGAAUUGACGG
rnacentral:rRNA from 1 species